AUAUAAUCGAGGUUCUACUUUAAAAUCUCAGAAAAGAAAGAUGUAAACAAGAUAUUCGCCUUCGCCAUUGAAAGACGUUCUUCUAACGUGAAACGAUGAGAAAUGGAAUCGGUAAAAAAGAACAGAUGAAAAAUCGAUAUCUCCUCGACAUUUUGACUAAACGUGGACCCUGUUAAGGUGCAAGAAACACACGAACGUCCUCGAAGACGUAAAAGCUCGUACCCAUCCUAACCCCAUGUAUCUUUCUGGUCGACAAUAAUUUCAGCGCAAGCUACGCAAUCGGUUAAAUCGCUUAGUCUAUGCCGUUUACGGGCUGUAGUCUUAUUCGGUACUCGACCGUUUUCUUUUUACUUGCUAACGUUCGUAUAAUACGAUCUAAGCCAAACACGAACACACCACCGCCAGGAAGUCAGCCAGAAUUGGGACGCAAUCAGAGCUUUUAUGGAAGCCUUGAGCAAAUCUGCCUGCCAGUUAUUCCCGAUAUCCCAUUUUUCUCGAUUACCCCGCCGGCAGUAUGGUCAAUCGUAUUUUUCAAUCUACUACAUUUGCGGAGCAAAAGAACACGUUUCUACGGAUUCUUCCUUUGGGAAUUUCAACGGGGUAAUGCCUACAAAGAGCUUUGCCGAUACAUAUAAUAUAAGACGAAGGAACUUUGUGAAGGACCGGCUAAUUGACGUUGGAGCUCGUCAACUUGUGUCACAUAUUCUUCGCAACGUGCGGCAAACAUCGCACGCAAACCUGAGAAGUGUGGUUAGCAGGUAUUAACACCAGAUACGAAGAAGCACCAUAAAGGUAAAUAUCGAAAGCAUGAUAAAGAAUUAAGAAAUAAUGCGUUAGUUAUAUGCAAACGGAAAAAUUGUUCGUAAAAAUUAACGUAAUGAAUAUGUAGAUUUAAGAACUAUUUUAAGUAUUACAAAGCGAUCAAAGCAUAGGAAACUCUUCCUCUAAUUGUAAUAGAUAUUAAUGACCAUUCUUUUAGUAAAUACAGCCAAUUUUAGAAAAAAAGAACAUUAUUUACAUGUUAAGGUAGUAAGUAUAUUAUUAAGAUAAUAAGUAUUGUUUACAUAUUAAUAUAUAUUUUUGCUAUGAAAUAAAACAGUAUUGUUGAUAGCAAACUCUUAAUGCCACUGCAAAAUCAAUUGUAGUGCAACUCAUUACAAGCAAUAAAAUGUACACAAAUGCUGAUAAUCGCGAUUAGUUUUACGUUAAUAAGUUAAUAUACAAAUGUUAGAAACACAAAAAAUAGAAAAAAAGGAUAAAUUAACUAUAUUCUCAAGUGUCAUCUUAAGUAUUAUUACUCUAAACAUAAUGUAUACAUUGUUACAAACUUGAAUAAACUUCAUAAUCAACUUACUUGAGAAUGUUGCAGCAUUUUCUUUUAACAUUCUAAGCUCAUUCCUCAGUUUCAACAUAGUCUCAUUAACGAUACUCUUCUCAUUUUCAUAUUUGCCCUUCAAAUUCGUAAGUGCUACUUCUGCGGUAUUCUUGUUCGAUUUAAGCACCGUUCUCAAAGUCGCGAUUUGCUCGCGUUUAGCCGAUAACAAGGCCUUCAAUCUAAUUACUUGUUCUUGUAAAUCUGCUACUUCCGCCUUGUUCUCAUUCACUGAACCUGUGAUUUGCAAUGAAGAAACGGUAUAUUAUAAAUUAUGCGUCAAUUGAAUAA
rnacentral:misc_RNA from 1 species